GGUCUCAUGGUGUAAUGGUUAGCACUCUGGACUUUGAAUCCAGCGAUCCGAGUUCGAGUCUCGGUGAGACCU
rnacentral:tRNA from 1 species